UGCUUGGCACAAUCUCUCCCCCCUUCUCUGGGCAGCAGACCAGAGCAUUAAGGCACCCCCUUAAUGUGCCUGGUUCUUGCUUCUUUGGGAACGGGAACGGCCUGGUACAACUGUGCUUGAACCGUGACGUUCUUGCUCCCUCAUUGCUUGGGAACAAUGGUGAUAAUCGAUCACCUCCUGACAACCUGGUGCACCUGUGCCUGAGCCGUGGCCCAGAAGCAGGGGAUGCCAGAGCAGUUCUGAGUCUGUGCAGCUGGUGGAAAGUACCAGAAUUGUUUCAUCAUCCGAGCUGGGCCAAAGUGGAAAAGUACCUGACAAAAGUCAAUUGUCUCGGGCCCUAUAAAUAGCGAUUCUAAGUGAGACCCUUGGAGCUCUCCUGGAUCGCAGCAGGCUGUCACCAGUAUCCCCCACCCACCCCGAGCUGGGACGCCUCUGAGGCACGAACCUGGUGAGAAUCAUCUGCCAGGGCGAAGCCAGCCUUCUCGAGUCUCAACUAUCGCCCGUUGAGGGAUGCCGAUGCAUUCACAAGAAACCGGACAAAAGGCCCUUCUCACAGUUCAUCAUGAUGUGAAUGGAAUACAUCAAGUUUUAAGAAGAAUCAAAAAAGAUGGAGAACACUGCUGGUGGGAAGCCCUGUUUGGAUGGUCUCCGACAGCAACUGGGACACUGAACCUGAUGUUGCACCCCAUCGUGAUUUUGCUAACUGUUGUUUUACUAUGCUUGUUGCUAAUUAUUGUUUUAUACACCUGAAUGUGGAAAAUGGCUACACAAAUUACAUUACUGCAAAAAUUUCCCCACAUAUAUGCGCCCUCCCCCCCAAAUAAUAACGCUUAAUCACUUUUGUGAAACUUCAGUUAAUUGGCAGAAGCUAACCAAACACACAAAAUUUCCCUCACAAUUUUAAUUGGAUUACGGCAUUAUCUGUUUAUAGGCAUAGAGGCAAGAGGCAACCACACUGCCACUCUAUGGACGAGACACAUCGACUUUAGUCACGGGGCGGAUUGCGGUGGUGCAAUCCCCCCUCUCCUGAGCCGCUCGGUGCUUGGCACAAUCUCUCCCCCCUUCUCUGGGCAGCAGACCAGAGCAUUAAGGCACCCCCUUAAUGUGCCUGGUUCUUGCUUCUUUGGGAACGGGAACGGCCUGGUACAACUGUGCUUGAACCGUGAUGUUCUUGCUCCCUCAUUGCUUGGGAACAAUGGUGAUAAUCGAUCACCUCCUGACAACCUGGUGCACCUGUGCCUGAGCCGUGGCCCAGAAGGGGGGGAUGCCAGAGCAGUUCUGAGUCUGUGCAGCUGGUGGAAAGUACCAGAAUUGUUUCAUCAUCCGAGCUGGGCCAAAGUGGAAAAGUACCUGACAAAAGUCAAUUGUCUCGGGCCCUAUAAAUAGCGAUUCUAAGUGAGACCCUUGGAGCUCUCCUGGAUCGCAGCGGGCUGUCACCAGUAUCCCCCACCCACCCCGAGCUGGGACGCCUCUGAGGCACGAACCUGGUGAGAAUCAUCUGCCAGGGCGAAGCCAGCCUUCUCGAGUCUCAACUAUCGCCCGUUGAGGGAUGCCGAUGCAUUGUGAGUAUUUACUCUAAACUCAGAGAGGGAAAUUUUAACUAUACGCUAGCUUCCAGCCUUCUCGAGUCUCAACUAUCGCCCAUUGAGGGAUGUCGAUGCAUUGUGUGUAUUUACUCUAAACUGAAAGAAGGAAACCCUAACUAUACGCUAGCUUCCUUCAUCCACCUCUCUACUUAUAUAUGUGUUUACAUACACACAUUCACCUUUACAAGUGUGGGUGGCAUAUAUUGCUGGGCCCAAAUAUUUCUGUUUGCUUGGUUUUUGCAUUAAGUGCUGCUAAAAUUUAACUUUUGAUUUACCUUAUACUAUUAAUAAAUUCUGAAUUCACUAAA